GCCUGGGUGGCUCAGUCGGUUGAGCGUCUGAUUUUGGCUCAGGUCACAAGUUCGCGGUCUGUGGGUUCCAGCCCCAUGUCAGGCU
rnacentral:tRNA from 1 species